rnacentral:rRNA from 1 species
GACGAACGCUGGCGGCGUGCUUAACACAUGCAAGUCGAACGGUAAGGCCCUUCGGGGUACACGAGUGGCGAACGGGUGAGUAACACGUGGGUGAUCUGCCCUGCACUUCGGGAUAAGCCUGGGAAACUGGGUCUAAUACCGGAUAGGACUCCGGACUGCAUGGUCUGGGGUGGAAAGCUUUUGCGGGGUGGGAUGGGCCCGCGGCCUAUCAGCUUGUUGGUGGGGUGAUGGCCUACCAAGGCGACGACGGGUAGACGGCCUGGGAGGGUGACCUGCCACACUGGGGCUGAGAGACGGCCCAGACUCCUGCGGGAGGCAGCGAUGGGGAAUAUUGCACAAUGGGCGCAAGCCUGAUGCAGCGACGCCGCGUGAGGGAUGACGGCCUUCGGGUUGUAAACCUCUUUCAGCACAGACGAAGCGCAAGUGACGGUAUGUGCAGAAGAAGGACCGGCCAACUACGUGCCAGCAGCCGCCGUAA